rnacentral:lncRNA from 1 species
AGAAAAAUUGAAUUUACUUUACUUUUCUAUCAAUAUUUUUGGAGGAAUUUACUUAAAUAGUAUUGUAAUCAUAUAUAAUGUACCUUACAAAUUUAUUGGCUUUUAUAGCAGUUUCAUUACGAAACUGUGUCAAUUGGAACUAUGUUCAAAUACUGUUUUUGGAAGUUUUGUGAGUGUGAUUAAUUUAGUUAAUUCUUUGUUGAUGAAAAAAAAAAUAUUAUAUUAUGUGUUAAAGAAUGUAUGGAAAAAAAUGAUAUACAUGUAAGAUGAUAAUGUGUUAUAAUUGAGAUUGUGUUGAGUUUUAUAUGUAAAGUAAGUUAGAAUGAAAAAUUGUUGAAGUGAAAAUAAAAGUGAUGUUUGAAAAGGAUAUGUGAUUUGAAGGAGUAAAUGGGAGUUGGAGUGAAUGGAAGUGUAAUUGAAAUGUGACUAAGUGGAAUUUGGCUAUUUCCUACAAGUUGAGUAUGACAAUGUUAAUCUUUUUGGUUGUCUAUAUCAUAGAUGCAAAUGUGCAAUUUAUGGUGAUUGGAGAAUUUGCCCAAACCCAUAGAAAUAGGCACAUAGAUCACACACUGGACCACAUGAUACCUACUUUUCAUAAACAUAGCCAUCCAUCUAUUUCGUAUAUAGAGCUAGCUACCACCAUUUUCAAUUUAUUGUACACUCUUCACUAUUCACUAUUCAAAUGCACUGCUUCUCCCAACAAUAUAAUCACCCAUCAAAGAGACAAGGACAUCUUUGCUUUCUGCUUUCAACAACCAUACACACAUACCUCAAAUCUCUUUUUUUAACUCUUCUUUUUUACACUACCUACCCUUCCCCACUUUCCCUCUUACUUUUUACAUCCUAAAUAUUUACUAUUCAUUCUUAUUAAUAUAUAAUACAUUAUUAAAGAUUUAAACCACUUUUCCAUCAACCACCAUUUUAAAAAUGUCACCUAAAGACUUUAAAAAUAAUUAUCUAAUUUUUUUUAUGAUAGUGUUCUUUUGUAAUUCUUAAUUUUGGUUAUAGAAAAAUUGUAUUAUUGAAGAAAAUCAUUUUUUUUCAUUUUUUAGUGUGUUUUAAUUUAACACACCAAAUACUAACAAGACAUGAGAUUUUAAAACAUGUUUCUAUAUUAGUUAUUAUUUUUUUUAGAAAUAAAUAAAAAUAUUAAGAGUAUUUCAACCCAUAUAAAAAAAAACUCCCUACAAGAAAAUCAUGAAAGAUAAACCAAUUUUAGAAACCAAAAUUAAUUAGUUGUUAUAGUGACUAAAUUAGAGACCAUUUUAGAAACUAAAAAAAAUAGUUUAUAAAUUAGUUUCUAUAAUUGUUAAAUGAUUUCUAAAUUGGUAUCUAAUUAGCUACCAAGGUUUUUGCUACCAAAUUUAUAAUCCAAAUAAUUGGUAGUUAAAACCUUGGUAGCUAAUUAGAAAUCAAUUUAGAAACUAUUUAACAAUAAUAGAAACUAAUUUAGAAACCAAAAUUUUUAUUAGUCUAUUAAAUGGUCUCUAAUUUAGUUACUAUAUUAAUUAAUUAAUUUUGGCCUCUAAAAUUGGUUUCUAUUUCAUGAUUUUCUUGCAGUGACUCUAACUAGAGUUAAAAGUAAAAAAACUAAAAAAUUCUAGCAUAAUCAUCAAUUAAGAAAUAUCAUAAAAGAAAAAUAUAUUAUUUUCUAUAAAGAGAUAUAUGUGGGUGUAAUAUAUAUUUACAUUCUGAUGUGGUUAAUGACGUUUGGGGGGCGAUUUGGGUUGGUGUUGUGAGUGGAAUUUGGAGACAUAGGAACUCGAUGACCUUCGACAGGGGUGUGGUAGAUGCGCUCGAGGUAUUUGCACUAGUUCAGGUAAAUGUUUGGUCUUGGAUUUUUGCAAAGUCCUGUUGUAAUUCCUUUACGUAUCUCAACUGGGUUUUGAACCCAGUGGAUUGUAUGAGGCUGGUUGUUUAAUGCUUUCUUGUGUUGCUUUGGUUGUUCCUUAUUUAGUUGGAAGGUGUUCAUUGGUUGGAGGUUGGUAAGGCAAUAGCUAUUUAUGUAUAAGGGUUGGACCACCCCUGAAGUGGUUCCCAUUUAUUUAUUUUUUAUUGCUGAUAAAAAAAAAUAUUUACAUUAUGAUAAAUGAAUAACUUGAAUAAACUGAUUUGCCAAAGCCUAAGGAUGUAAUUUCAUCCAACAAUACACGAAUAAUGCAUAUAAAAUGAUAUAGAGAAACUUUUGUAGAUAAAUAGAAACUUUCUAAGUUAGUUACAUUUUUGUUUAAUUAAUGUAUGAAGAGUUAGGAGACUUGUUUAUAUUAAAUUGAGACAUGUUUGUAUUACAACCCUACAUUGAUUCUCCCUCUCAUUUCUGUCUCACAACCCCAUUGUUGGCACCCACCCUCAUUCUCCUUGCUGACACCAUCAUCUUUCUCUUUGUAGAUAACGUUGCACUAUAUGUCUUUCUUCUACAUUGUGCAUAGAAACGAGGAUAUGUACUUGCCUAGUUCAUAUCCACUCUUUUCCCUAAUUUUGAUUUGAGUUCAACAAUGAUGACGCUGGUGAUAGCAGCACUAACAUGGAGUCACUUUCUCCUUAUUUGAUAACUCUACUAGUAAUGGUGACACUAUGUUGAAGAUAGUGGCGUUUGCAACAAAUUGAAAUUCAAAUCCAUGAAACUUAAGAUUCAUAAAUUAUUUUAUUUGAAAAAGAUUGGAGUCCAUGGCUUUCUGAUUUGACAUUCUGAAGAGAUAAGAACAAUUUAAAUCAUGUGUAUAGAAAUUCAUCUUAGUCUAUAAUUAGACCAAAUUCAUGAUCCUUAACUUUCAUGUCGGUGAUGUCCUUCCUUUUAG